CUGGGAAUAGAACAAUUGGCUGUUUACUCGCCUUGGACGCGAGAGGAUGUAGGUUCGAAUCCUGCUUCCCAGAC
rnacentral:tRNA from 1 species